AUACGUAGGGAGCGAGCGUUGUCCGGAUUUACUGGGUGUAAAGGGUGCGUAGGCGGCUCUGCAAGUCAGGUGUGAAAACCAUCGGCUUAACUGAUGGACUGCAUUUGAAACUGUGGGGCUUGAGUGGAGUAGAGGCAGACGGAAUUCCCGGUGUAGCGGUGAAAUGCGUAGAGAUCGGGAAGAACACCAGUGGCGAAGGCGGUCUGCUGGGCUCUAACUGACGCUGAGGCACGAAAGCAUGGGUAGCAAACAGGAUGAGAUACCCUGGUAGUCCAUGCCGUAAACGAUGAUUACUAGGUGUGGGGAGUCUGACCCUCUCCGUGCCGGAGUUAACGCAAUAAGUAAUCCGCCUGGGGAGUACGGCCGCAAGGUUGAA
rnacentral:rRNA from 1 species